rnacentral:rRNA from 1 species
GUCCAGACUCCUACGGGAGGCAGCAGUGGGGAAUAUUGCACAAUGGGCGCAAGCCUGAUGCAGCCAUGCCGCGUGUAUGAAGAAGGCCUUCGGGUUGUAAAGUACUUUCAGCGGGGAGGAAGGCGAUAAGGUUAAUAACCUUGUCGAUUGACGUUACCCGCAGAAGAAGCACCGGCUAACUCCGUGCCAGCAGCCGCGGUAAUACGGAGGGUGCAAGCGUUAAUCGGAAUUACUGGGCGUAAAGCGCACGCAGGCGGUCUGUCAAGUCGGAUGUGAAAUCCCCGGGCUCAACCUGGGAACUGCAUUCGAAACUGGCAGGCUAGAGUCUUGUAGAGGGGGGUAGAAUUCCAGGUGUAGCGGUGAAAUGCGUAGAGAUCUGGAGGAAUACCGGUGGCGAAGGCGGCCCCCUGGACAAAGACUGACGCUCAGGUGCGAAAGCGUGGGGAGCAAACAGGAUUAGAUACCCUGGUAGUCCACGCCGUAAACGAUGUCGACUUGGAGGUUGUGCCCUUGAGGCGUGGCUUCCGGAGCUAACGCGUUAAGUCGACCGCCUGGGGAGUACGGCCGCAAGGUUAAAACUCAAAUGAAUUGACGGGGGCCCGCACAAGCGGUGGAGCAUGUGGUUUAAUUCGAUGCAACGCGAAGAACCUUACCUACUCUUGACAUCCAGAGAACUUUCCAGAGAUGGAUUGGUGCCUUCGGGAACUCUGAGACAGGUGCUGCAUGGCUGUCGUCAGCUCGUGUUGUGAAAUGUUGGGUUAAGUCCCGCAACGAGCGCAACCCUUAUCCUUUGUUGCCAGCGGUCCGGCCGGGAACUCAAAGGAGACUGCCAGUGAUAAACUGGAAGAAGGUGGGGGAUGACGUCAAGUCAUCAUGGCCCCUUACAAGUAGGGCUACCACCGUGCUACAAUGGGCGCAUACAAAGGAAACCAACCUCCCAAAGACAAGCGGACCUCAUAAAGGGGCUCCGAAUUCCGGAAUGGGAGUCCGCAACCCGACUCCCUGGAAACCGGAAUCCCGUAGAAAUGCUGGAAACAAAAUGCCCCGGGGGAAAAACUUUCCCCGGGCCCUUUGAAACCCCCCCCCCCGUCCCACCUGGGGAAGGGGGUUGCCAAAGAA